CACGUAGGGCGCGAGCGUUGUCCGGAAUUAUUGGGCGUAAAGAGCUCGUAGGCGGCCUGUUGCGUCCGCUGUGAAAGCCCGGGGCUUAACCCCGGGUCUGCAGUGGAUACGGGCAGGCUAGAGGUAGGCAGGGGAGAAUGGAAUUCCUGGUGUAGCGGUGAAAUGCGCAGAUAUCAGGAGGAACACCGGUGGCGAAGGCGGGUCUCUGGGCCGAUACUGACGCUGAGGAGCGAAAGCGUGGGGAGCGAACAGG
rnacentral:rRNA from 1 species